AGUGGUCCAGGAGCUUUAUUUAGCUGCCCUGAAAUCCCACAGUUCUGGGCAGCACUCCUGAGCUGGUGUCCUUGCUGCCGAAGAGGACAAAAGCUCGUGAGCAGGCUCUGCCCCUCUGGGAAGAAAGCCA
rnacentral:sRNA from 1 species